rnacentral:rRNA from 1 species
GACGAACGCUGGCGGCGUGCUUAACACAUGCAAGUCGAACGGAAAGGCCCUGCUUUUGUGGGGUGCUCGAGUGGCGAACGGGUGAGUAACACGUGAGUAACCUGCCCUUGACUUUGGGAUAACUUCAGGAAACUGGGGCUAAUACCGGAUAGGAGCUCCUGCUGCAUGGUGGGGGUUGGAAAGUUUCGGCGGUUGGGGAUGGACUCGCGGCUUAUCAGCUUGUUGGUGGGGUAGUGGCUUACCAAGGCUUUGACGGGUAGCCGGCCUGAGAGGGUGACCGGCCACAUUGGGACUGGAAUACGGACCAGACUCCUACGGGAGGGAGCAGUGGGGAAUAUUGCACAAUGGGCGGAAGCCUGAUGCAGCAACGCCGCGUGCGGGAUGACGGCCUUCGGGUUGUAAACCGCUUUCGCCUGUGACGAAGCGUGAGUGACGGUAAUGGGUAAAGAAGCACCGGCUAACUACGUG